UCUCCGUUGGUGAACCAGCGGAGGGACCAUUACUGGAAUCGCAAGAUCCCACAACCCUGUGAACCUACCGAAACGUUGCCUCGGCGGGCGCAGCGCCCGGCGGCGGCCCCCUGCUCUGUCUCUGCAGCGUGGCAUCUCAGAGUCCCAGAAAACAAGUCAAAACUUUCAACAACGGAUCUCUUGGCUCUA
rnacentral:misc_RNA from 1 species